AAAAUGACUCUCGGCAACGGAUAUCUCGGCUCUCGCAUCGAUGAAGAACGUAGCGAAAUGCGAUACUUGGUGUGAAUUGCAGAAUCCCGUGAACCAUCGAGUCUUUGAACGCAAGUUGCGCCCCAAGCCUUUAGGCCGAGGGCACGCCUGCUUGGGUGUCACACA
rnacentral:rRNA from 1 species